rnacentral:rRNA from 1 species
UUGCGCUAUCAGAUGAGCCUAGGUCGGAUUAGCUAGUUGGUGGGGUAAUGGCUCACCAAGGCGACGAUCCGUAACUGGUCUGAGAGGAUGAUCAGUCACACUGGAACUGAGACACGGUCCAGACUCCUACGGGAGGCAGCAGUGGGGAAUAUUGGACAAUGGGCGAAAGCCUGAUCCAGCCAUGCCGCGUGUGUGAAGAAGGUCUUCGGAUUGUAAAGCACUUUAAGUUGGGAGGAAGGGCAGUAAAUUAAUACUUUGCUGUUUUGACGUUACCGACAGAAUAAGCACCGGCUAACUCUGUGCCAGCAGCCGCGGUAAUACAGAGGGUGCAAGCGUUAAUCGGAAUUACUGGGCGUAAAGCGCGCGUAGGUGGUUAGUUAAGUUGGAUGUGAAAUCCCCGGGCUCAACCUGGCAACUGCAUUCAAAACUGACUGACUAGAGUAUGGUAGAGGGUGGUGGAAUUUCCUGUGUAGCGGUGAAAUGCGUAGAUAUAGGAAGGAACACCAGUGGCGAAGGCGACCACCUGGACUGAUACUGACACUGAGGUGCGAAAGCGUCGGGAGCAAACAGGAUUAGAUACCCU